AAUAUCUCAAGAAGCGAUUGUUGGAGCUGUUUUUGUCACUAAAGCAUGAAUUUGCAGCUGAGUGCCCAAUGAAUGAGAUUUCUUAUAGAGAAAUGAAGGAAAGAGCCAAAGAAUAUUGUUCAACUUCAAAGAUUUUUAAAGGAAGUCCGCCUUCUAACACUUGGCUUGUGAAACCCUUGAACUUUGAGGCCUUCUCAUGAGAUGGAAGAGUUGAAUUCUAAACAGACUGGGCCUUUUUUGACUUUGAAUGAUGAACGUGGGUUUGAGCCAUUGGUAUCAAAGUUGAAGGUACACAAGUUCAUAUCCUUGACGCAAAUCAUUUGUUUGAAUUGAGAACUGGUUGGU